rnacentral:rRNA from 1 species
UGCAGAGGGGGCAAGCGUUGUUCGGAAUUACUGGGCGUAAAGGGCGCGUAGGCGGCCUUCUAAGUCGAACGUGAAAUCCCCGGGCUCAACCCGGGAACUGCGUCCGAGACUGAAAGGCUUGAAUCCGGGAGAGGGAUGUGGAAUUCCAGGUGUAGCGGUGAAAUGCGUAGAUAUCUGGAGGAACACCGGUGGCGAAGGCGGCAUCCUGGACCGGUAUUGACGCUGAGGCGCGAAAGCCAGGGGAGCAAACGGG